ACCGCCUGGGUAGUACGAUCGCAAGAUUAAAACUCAAAGGAAUAGACGGGGACUUGCACAAGCGGUGGAUUAUGUGGUUUAAUUCGAUGGUACACGAAGAACCUUACCAGGGCUAGAUAUCUAAUGGAAAGACUUAGGAAACUAAGUAACUCCGCAAGGACCGUUAGACAGGUGAUGCAUGGCCGUCGUCAGUUCGUGGUUUGAACUGUUCCCUUAAGUGGGGUAACGAACGCAACCCUUGUCGUCUGUUACAAGUGUCAGGCGAGACUGCCCAGCCCUAAGCGCACAAUACGAUCAUAAAAGAUGAUCGUGAUUGCGAAUUUGGGGCUGGGAGGAAGGCGGGGAUGACGCCAGGUCAGCAUGUCCCUAGAUGCCCUGGGCUACACACAUAAUACAAUGGAGGUUACAACGGGCAGCGACCCAGCAAUGGUGAGCUAAUCCUUAAAAAGCCUUCUCAGUCCGGAUUGAGGUCUGCAACUCGACCUCAUGAAGCCGGAAUCGCUAGUAAUCGCGGGUCAGCUAAACCGCGGUGAAUACGUUCUCAAGUCUUGUACUCACCGCCCGUCAACUCAAGGGAGCCGGGAGUACCCGAAAUCUCACCUCGUGUGGGCCUAAGGUAAGCUCGGUAACAGGGAGUAAGUCGUAACAAGGCACGGGUAGCGGAAGCUGCUCGUGGAUCAAUUCCAAU
rfam:Candidatus Lloydbacteria bacterium RIFCSPHIGHO2_01_FTLL_49_22 rifcsphigho2_01_scaffold_234, whole genome shotgun sequence.